GAUGAACGCUGGCGGCGUGCUUAACACAUGCAAGUCGAACGAUGAAGCCCCUGCUUGCAGGGGUGGAUUAGUGGCGAACGGGUGAGUAACACGUGAGCAACCUGCCCCUGACUCUGGGAUAAGCGCCGGAAACGGUGUCUAAUACUGGAUAUGUGCCUCGGCCGCAUGGUCUGUGGUUGGAAAGAUUUUUCGGUUGGGGAUGGGCUCGCGGCCUAUCAGCUUGUUGGUGAGGUAAUGGCUCACCAAGGCGUCGACGGGUAGCCGGCCUGAGAGGGUGACCGGCCACACUGGGACUGAGACACGGCCCAGACUCCUACGGGAGGCAGCAGUGGGGAAUAUUGCACAAUGGGCGGAAGCCUGAUGCAGCAACGCCGCGUGAGGGAUGACGGCCUUCGGGUUGUAAACCUCUUUUAGCAGGGAAGAAGCGAAAGUGACGGUACCUGCAGAAAAAGCACCGGCUAACUACGUGCCAGCCGCCGCCGUAACAC
rnacentral:rRNA from 1 species